rnacentral:tRNA from 1 species
AGCUUUGAAGUUUUAUACGUUAGAUUGCAAAUCUAGAAAAGUCGGUUAAUUGCCGACCGGGGCUU